rnacentral:ncRNA from 1 species
UGACCUCAGAUCAGGCAAGGCUACCCGCUGAAUUUAAGCAUAUUAAUAAGCGGAGGAAAAGAAACUAACAAGGAUUCCCCUAGUAAUGGCGAAUGAAGCGGGAACAGCUCAAAUUUAAAAUCUCCGUUGCUUGCAACGGCGAAUUGUAGUUUCGAGAAGCACUUUCUCGGCGGAUCCGAGGUCGCUUAAGUUGCUUGGAACAGCACGUCGUAGAGGGUGAAAACCCCGUCUGCGGCGACCUCGGUCGUUCACGAUGUGCUUUCGACGAGUCGGGUUGUUUGGGAAUGCAGCCCAAAAUGGGUGGUAAACUCCAUCUAAAGCUAAAUAUUGGCACGAGACCGAUAGCGAACAAGUACCGUGAGGGAAAGAUGAAAAGCACUUUGAAAAGAGAGUUAAAAAGUACGUGAAACCGUUAAAAGGGAAACGAAUGGGGUUAGCAAUGCGUCGUGCGAGAUUCAGCCGGUGGGUGGGCCAGGCGGGCGGUUGGCGGAUCUGAAUGGACCGCUGCCGUUCGGGUUGGUUUCCCGACCGUCGCACUUCUCGCAGGCGCGCGCCAACGUCGGUUAGGGCUGGGUCUCAAAGGCGGUGGGAAAGGUAGGUUUGGACUCUGGGGCCCGAACUGUUACAGUCCUCCGUUUGUCAUGGCCCGGACCUGACCAAGGAGCUUGCGGUGCAUGCCGUUCGGCUAGGGUCCCGUCUUCCCGGUCGGUCGUCGAAUGCGGUGGACUGCGUGCAGUGCGCCGCGACUGCUGCCGGUCGCGAGGGCGGUGAUUUCGUACUAUGCACCCACGACGUUGGCGGUCAUAUGGCCUCAUCCGACCCGUCUUGAAACACGGACCAAGGAGUCUAACAUGUGUGCGAGUCUUUGAGUGAUCGAAACUCCGAGGCGUAAUGAAAGUGAAGGCGACUUCGGUCGCUGAGGUGAGAGCCUUUUUCCACAAAAAAAGGCGCAUCAUUGACCGACCUAUUCUACUCUUAGAAAGGUUUGAGUAAGAGCGCAUCUGUUGGGACCCGAAAGAUGGUGAACUAUGCCUGAAUAGGGUGAAGCCAGAGGAAACUCUGGUGGAGGCUCGUAGCGAUUCUGACGUGCAAAUCGAUCGUCAAAUUUGGGUAUAGGGGCGAAAGACUAAUCGAACUGUCUAGUAGCUGGUUCCCUCCGAAGUUUCCCUCAGGAUAGCUGGAACUUACGGCAGUUUUAUCAGGUAAAGCGAAUGAUUAGAGGUCUUAGGGUUAAAACAACCUUAACCUAUUCUCAAACUUUAAAUUGGUAAGAAGUCCGACUUGCUUAAUUGAAGCCGGACAGUGAAUGCGAGUUCCUAGUGGGCCAUUUUUGGUAAGCAGAACUGGCGAUGCGGGAUGAACCGAACGCGCGGUUAAGGUGCCAAAGUCGACGCUCAUCA